GGCCUGAUGGUGUAGUGGUUACAUCUCCUCUUAUAAUCGCAAUUUUAUGUAGUUUCGAUUUUCAGAGGAAGUCCUCGGUUCGAGUCCGGGUCAGGCCA